AGGGAAGAACAAGUGCUAGUUGAAUAAGCUGGCACCUUGACGGUACCUAACCAGAAAGCCACGGCUAACUACGUGCCAGCAGCCGCGGUAAUACGUAGGUGGCAAGCGUUAUCCGGAAUUAUUGGGCGUAAAGCGCGCGCAGGUGGUUUCUUAAGUCUGAUGUGAAAGCCCACGGCUCAACCGUGGAGGGUCAUUGGAAACUGGGAGACUUGAGUGCAGAAGAGGAAAGUGGAAUUCCAUGUGUAGCGGUGAAAUGCGUAGAGAUAUGGAGGAACACCAGUGGCGAAGGCGACUUUCUGGUCUGUAACUGACACUGAGGCGCGAAAGCGUGGGGAGCAAACAGGAUUAGAUACCCUGGUAGUCCACGCCGUAAACGAUGAGUGCUAAGUGUUAGAGGGUUUCCG
rnacentral:rRNA from 1 species